GCUUGUUAAUCAUCAAAAUAACACUAUCAUCCUCAAUCUCCCCCUUUUUGAUGAUUACAAAAUAUAGAGUAUGAGCCUAUUGAUACUUAUCUUAAAAUCAGUUUUAAAAAGGGCUCAAAUUGCUGAAUUUCAGCUUUUCAAAUAUGAGAGUGAAGUCUCCCCCUAUUUCAUCCAAAUGUUUCCAAUUUGACUUUUUGAAUUGCUCCCCCUUUCAUUUAUAUUUCAUUAAAGAUGAAACUUCAAAAAUUUGAGAUAAAGCAUG
rnacentral:lncRNA from 1 species